rnacentral:rRNA from 1 species
UACGUAGGGUGCAGGCGUUAAUCGGAAUUACUGGGCGUAAAGCGUGCGUAGGCGGUUUCUUAAGUCUGCUGUGAAAGCCCUGGGCUCAACCUGGGAAUGGCGGUGGAUACUGAGAAGCUGGAGUACGGUAGAGGAAGGUGGAAUUCCCGGUGUAGCGGUGAAAUGCGUAGAGAUCGGGAGGAACAUCAGUGGCGAAGGCGGCCUUCUGGACCAGUACUGACGCUGAGGCACGAAAGCGUGGGGAGCAAACAGG